UGAAAGUGACAGGUGAAACCGUUUCAAGACAAUGGCAGGAAAAGCAUGCUGAAGAUUGAAUCAAACCUUGGCUGGAAAUAUUUGAGGUGAUCUAGCCAGUCCACAAUGAAAGCUUCGUUGCCCCCCUGUGAGUCUUCUGGCAGAAAUGAUGGCGCUUGUAUUCUUUGGUUUCCCUAAACAUCACAUCCUGUUUAUACGAGGCUCUUCAAUUAAGUCUGCACCCAAAGAUUCAAUAAGAGAGGGGAUCCUGCCAGUCCAAAGUGAACUCCUGAUGGACACUGAAGUACUCCUGCAGAGCUUGUAUCUUCGACACCAUGCGCAUUAGAAACUCCACUGAGUGCUUUCCUUCACCAAAGCAGGACCCAGUGACUCAUUACUGUUGAUCGGUCAGGGGCAGGUCAUUUUUUGUUUCAUGUUUAUUCAUUUCUCCAUGGAUUACCAGCCAUAUAUAUAGACACAUGCUGUAUUCUCAAGAUCUAUGCUGUUUGGUAGGAAUAGAGAAAAUUAUAUGUUUAGUCUGUUUUCAAAUGGUAUGUCAAAUUUUCUCAUUGUUUAUCAGUAAUAUUCACUACCAUGGUUAUAUAUGAGCAUCUUUAGAUUUUUCUAUAUUUAGCGGUUGCAAAUGUAAAAUGUACGGUAAACUAUUUAUGUUCCUCAUAUUGUACUGUAUUUUUAGCAGUAAAAUACCGGCAGCUGUGGUUGCCAGGAAUUUACCGUAAAAUGUAUCU